rnacentral:lncRNA from 10 species
CGCGGCCAGAGUGGGCUGAGGCCGAGGAGGCGCGGAGAGCCAGCGAGGGAUGCCAGCAAGCUGUCACCUCUCAGAAAUACAGGAAGAACAUCAAUAAUGUUCGAAGUUAUAAAUUGCGGAGGUCAGAAGUCAGAAAACAAGGUGUCUGCAGGACCAACCUCUCCUCUGGAUGCUCUAGGUGUUGAAAUUUCCAGGAUGCAAAACGAAGGGGCAAUUCAAAACAUUCAUC